AACGUAGGUACCGAGCGUUAUCCGGAUUCACUGGGUGUAAAGCGCGUGCAGGUGGUAUGGUAAGUCGGGCAUGAAAACUCUUGGCUCAACUGAGAGACGCUGUCCGAUACUGCCGAACUUGAGGGUGUAAGAGGGAGGUGGAAUUCCGCAUGUAGUGGUGAAAUGCGUAGAUAUGCGGAGGAACACCAGUGGCGAAGGCGGCCUCCUGGUACACUCCUGACACUCAGACGCGAAAGCUAGGGGAGCGAACGGG
rnacentral:rRNA from 1 species